GCAACCUCUGCCUCCCGAGUUCAAGCGAUUCUCCUGCCUCAGCCUCCCUAGUAGCUGGGAUUACAGGUGUGUGCCACCACUCCCAGCUAGUUUUUGUAUUUUUAGUAGAGAUGGUGUUUCGCCUUGUUGGCCUGACUGGUCUCAAACUCCUGACCUCAAGUUAUCCACUCACUUUGGCCUCCCAAAGUGCUGGGAUUACAGGUGUGAGCCACCACGCCUGACCAAUUGUACCACUUUGAGCCACAAUAAAUACCUUGGUGUAGGACUUUUUGUAUGUGUAUUUUUUUUUUCUCACUCUUGUCACCCAGGCUGGAGUGCAGUGGCACCAUCUCAACUCACUGCAACAUCUGCCUCCCGGGUUCAAGAGAUUCUCAUGCCUCAGCCUCCUGAGUAUCUGGGAUUACAGGCACACGCCACCACACCUGGACAAUUUUUGUAUUUUCAGUAGAGACUUGUUUUCACCAUGUUGGCCAGGCUGACCUCAAACUCCUGGCCUCAGGUGAUCCACCCGUCUUGGCCUCCCAAAGUGCUGGAAUUACAGGCAUGAGCCACUGCACCUGGCCAGUAGGUGUAUUUUUAUAGAAUUGCUGCAUUCACUAAUUUGUAACUUUUGGAUACCUGACAAUAACUCAUAGCAUCCUUUGGUUCAUCAAAUAUUCAUCUUAUUAUUUUUAAUGGCUACUUAGCUUUCCAUUGCAUCAUUUUUUGUUUGUUUGUAUUUUUGAGAUAGAGUCUCGCUCUAUCACCAGGCUGGAGUGCAGUGGUGUGAUCUCGGCUCACUGCAAUCUCCACCUCCCGGGUUCAAGCGAUUCCCCUGCCUCAGCCUCCUAAGUAGCUGGAAUUACAGGCGCCCACCACUAUGCCUGGCUAAUUUUUUAUAUUUUAGUAGAGACGGGGUUUCACCAUGUUCACCAGGAUGGUCUCAAUCUCCUGAUCUCAUGAUCCACCCACCUCAGCCUCCCAAAGUGCUGGGAUUACAGGUGUUAGCCACCGUGCCUGGCCCCCAUUGCAUCUAUUUUUAAUGGUUAGUGUGUCAUCCUGCUAGCCUUGCUCACCUCGAGGUACCACCUUCUGGAGGGAGCACAGCUUCGGAAUCCAACAAGCCCUGGUUCAGUCCCAGCACCACUGCCGGCCUGAGGCCUUGGGUGGAUCACACGGCCUUAGGGCAGCCUUUUCCUUAAGGCCAGGGGAACUAGAGCCUCCUGUGCUGCCUCCCCAGAUCCCCAAGUCUGUAGUCCCCUUCUCCCUCCUUCCCUGAUGGUGGGGCAGUUACUGAGCAUUUUGUGGUCGGUGUAAGUGCUGGAACCUCAGCCAGAAGGGGUUCAAGGCCUGGCUGUGCUCUCCUGAGCACGUGACUUUGCCACCCUGAGCUUCAGUUUUUUUCCUGUCUCCAGCGGAAACAAGAAUUUCUGUCUUCCUCAAGGGCCGGUAGGGGGAGAUAAGAGCUUGUGUGUGUAGUGCCUGGGUGCCCUGGCCCGGCAGGGCGAGGGGUGCGGGGGUCAUCACUGUGGUCUGUGUGUGGGUUCUCG
rnacentral:lncRNA from 10 species